rnacentral:rRNA from 1 species
CAGUCGCCACGGUAGUACGUAGGGUGCGAGCGUUGUCCGGAAUUAUUGGGCGUAAAGAGCUCGUAGGCGGCUUGUCGCGUCGGAUGUGAAAGCCCGGGGCUUAACUCCGGGUCUGCAUUCGAUACGGGCAGGCUAGAGUGUGGUAGGGGAGAUCGGAAUUCCUGGUGUAGCGGUGAAAUGCGCAGAUAUCAGGAGGAACACCGGUGGCGAAGGCGGAUCUCUGGGCCAUUACUGACGCUGAGGAGCGGAAGCGUGGGGAGCGAACAGGAUUAGAUACCUCGGUAGUCCCUGUCUCUUAUAC